UAUAGAGGUCUCAAGCGUUGUUCGGAUUCAUUGGGCGUAAAGGGUGCGUAGGCGGCGCGGUAAGUCGGGUGUGAAAUCUCGGGGCUUAACUCCGAAACUGCAUUCGAUACUGCUGUGCUUGAGGACUGGAGAGGAGACUGGAAUUUACGGUGUAGCGGUGAAAUGCGUAGAUAUCGUAAGGAAGACCAGUGGCGAAGGCGGGUCUCUGGACAGUUCCUGACGCUGAGGCACGAAGGUCAGGGGAGCAAACGGG
rnacentral:rRNA from 1 species